rnacentral:rRNA from 1 species
UACGGAGGGUGCAAGCGUUAUCCGGAUUCACUGGGUUUAAAGGGUGCGUAGGAGGGCAGGUAAGUCAGUGGUGAAAUCUCCGAGCUUAACUUGGAAACUGCCAUUGAUACUAUCUGUCUUGAAUAUUGUGGAGGUGAGCGGAAUAUGUCAUGUAGCGGUGAAAUGCUUAGAUAUGACAUAGAACACCAAUUGCGAAGGCAGCUCGCUACACAAAUAUUGACGCUGAGGCACGAAAGCGUGGGGAUCAAACAGG